rnacentral:rRNA from 1 species
UGGCGGCGUGCCUAACACAUGCAAGUCGAACGGUAACAUGUCUAUAGCAAUAUAGAUGAUGACGAGUGGCAAACGGGUGAGUAAUACGUAAGGAACUUUCCUUUUGGACGGGGAUAACCUCGGGAAACCGAAGCUAAUACCCGAUAAGUUCUCUUUUUCGCAUGAAGAGGAGAAGAAACCGAGUAAUCGGCCGAUUGAUAGCCUUGCGCACGAUUAGUUAGUUGGCGGGGUAAUGGCCCACCAAGACAAUGAUCGUUAGCUGGUCUGAGAGGAUGAUCAGCCACAUGGGGACUGAGACACGGCCCUGACUCCUACGGGAGGCAGCAGUGAGGAAUUUUGCUCAAUGGGGGUAACCCUGAAGCAGCGACGCCGCGUGGAGGAUGAAGUUUUUCGGAAUGUAAACUCCUGUCAGUGGGGAAGAUAAUGACGGUACCCACAGAGGAAGCCCCGGCUAACUAUGUGCCAGCAGCCGCGGUAAUACAUAGGGGGCGAGCGUUGUCCGGAUUUAUUGGGCGUAAAGCGCACGUAGGUGGCAAGCUAAGUUGG